UGAGGAACAUGACCUUCGGCGGGGGAUGGCCGGCCCAACGGCCGGGUAAUACCGCGUACGACC
rnacentral:rRNA from 1 species